GUCGUAACAAGGUUUCCGUAGGUGAACCUGCGGAAGGAUCAUUAAUGAAACUUCAAAGUCGGCCAAAGGUUGUUGCUGGUGAUUAUUCACAUGUGCACGCCUUUGGUCGCAAAUCCACACACACCUGUGCAUCUAUGACUCGAGGUUGUAAUGACUGAGAGUAACUUUUAUACACUCUUGUAUGUAAUGGAAUGUCUUUUUGUGCUAUAAUGUACAAUAUAAACAACUUUCAACAACGGAUCUCUUGGCUCUCGCAUCGAUGAAGAACGCAGCGAAAUGCGAUAAGUAAUGUGAAUUGCAGAAUUCAGUGAAUCAUCGAAUCUUUGAACGCACCUUGCACCCUUUGGUAUUCCGAAGGGUACGCCCGUUUGAGUGUCAUUGUAAUCUCACUUCUACAACUUUAUUGUUGUUUGAAUGUGGACUUGGAUGUUGCCGUUUUAUCACGGCUCGUCUUAAAUGCCUGAGUGUACCCUGUUUUGCAGCGUAUCCAGUGUAAUAAACAUUUCACUAGAGUUGGUCGAAAGACCGCGUUGACUAUAUGGGCUCUAUGCUUCAAACCGUCUGCCAUGUGGACAAUUUCUUGACAAUUUGACCUCAAAUCGGGUGGGACUACCCGCUGAACUUAAGCAUAUCAAUAAGCGGAGGAAAAGAAACUAACAAGGAUUCCCCUAGUAACGGCGAGUGAAGAGGGAAAAGCUCAAAUUUUAAAUCUGGUGUCUUUGACUCCCGAGUUGUAAUCUAGAGAAGUGUUUUCCGUGUCGGACCGUGUACAAGUUCCCUGGAACGGGGCGUCAUAGAGGGUGAGAAUCCCGUAUAUGCCACGGACUACCGAUGCUCUGUGAUACACUCUCAACGAGUCGAGUUGUUUGGGAAUGCAGCUCAAAAUGGGUGGUAAAUUCCAUCUAAAGCUAAAUAUUGGCGAGAGACCGAUAGCGAACAAGUACCGUGAGGGAAAGAUGAAAAGCACUUUGGAAAGAGAGUGAAACAGUACGUGAAAUUGUUGAAAGGGAAGCGUUUGAAGUCAGUCGCAUCUGUUGGGGUUCAGCCUGGCUUUUGCCUGGUGUAUUUCCUUUCCGAUGGGUCAGCAUCAGUUUCGACCGAGGGAAAAAGACAUUUGGAAUGUGGCUGUCUUCGGGCAGUGUUAUAGCCUUGUGUUGUAUGUCUCGGUUGGGACUGAGGAUUGCAGCGCGCCAUAAAUGGCCGGGGGUCGCUCCUCUCGACACGCGCUUAGGAUGCUGGCAUAAUGGCUUUAAGCGACCCGUCUUG
rnacentral:rRNA from 1 species